GACGAACCGAGCGAACGUUAUUCGGAAUCACUGGGCUUAAAGGGCGCGUAGGCGGGCGGUCAAGUCAGGGGUGAAAGCCCCCAGCUCAACUGGGGAAGUGCCUCUGAUACUGGUCGUCUCGAGGGAGGUAGGGGCGUGCGGAACUUCCGGUGGAGCGGUGAAAUGCGUAGAUAUCGGAAGGAACGCCGGUGGCGAAAGCGACGUGCUGGACCUCUUCUGACGCUGAGGCGCGAAAGCCAGGGGAGCAAACGGG
rnacentral:rRNA from 1 species